GUGGGUAUAGCUCAGUGGUAGAGCAUGUGCUUAGCAUGGACGAGGUCCUGGGUUCCAUCCCCAGUACCUCCU
rnacentral:tRNA from 1 species